UACGGAGGAUGCAAGCGUUAUCCGGAAUGAUUGGGCGUAAAGCGUCCGCAGGUGGCUAUGUAAGUCUGCUGUUAAAGAGUGAGGCUCAACCAGAUAAAGGCAGUGGAAACUACAUAGCUAGAGUAAGGUAGGGGUAGAGGGAAUUCCUGGUGUAGCGGUGAAAUGCGUAGAGAUCAGGAAGAACACCGGUGGCGAAAGCGCUCUGCUGGACCUUAACUGACACUGAGGGACGAAAGCUAGGGGAGCGAAUGGG
rnacentral:rRNA from 1 species